rnacentral:lncRNA from 1 species
CACCAAAACCUGUAAUAAACGGCCAUAACAGACAUGGAUGUAAUUCCAAAGCUAGACAUGACAGCGGCAACGAGGUAAGUAAACCUUUCGGAUCUCUUUCUAGCUAAUUUCUCCGACAGACGCGCCGGUAUUAAGAUCUGACGAUCUCUAACUUCCUCGAAUCCUUGUUCCACGAUCUGGGUAGGAGCGCUCUGCUUCUGUUCUUCAUCCACCACGAAACAAACAGCAAAGCUUUUCUUUCUUCGAGCUCCGUAGGUUGUUAUUUUUGGGAGGUGCAGUAAAGGAUGGAAAAUUGGAGCAGGCUUCAGCAGCGGAAAUGAGCGGAAGGGUUU